rnacentral:rRNA from 1 species
GGCCACAGCCAUAUCACCCUGCAGCCCAAGACUGGUUGCCCACUGAAGCUAAUCAGGGUUGAGCCUGGUCAGUACUUGGAUGGGAGACCUCCUGGGAAAACUAGGUUGCUGUUGGAA